AAAAGCUUAUUAAGGGCAAAUGGUGGAUGCCUUGGGUGAUAGAGGCGAUGAAGGACGUACUAAGCUGCGAUAAGCUAUGGGGAGCUGCUAAGAAGCAUUGAGCCAUAGAUUUCCGAAUGGGGCAACCCAACACGCAGAGAUGCGUGUUAUGUAGGCAACACAGAGUGGAAAAUUUAGCAAUUUAUAGAAUGUAAAACAAGAUUCUAAAAGCAAGAUUCUAUAAUCUUUAGAAUCUAGUUUUUAUCCAAAGUUAAGAUUCAAUGAAUUUGUAAAUGUUAUGGAAUCUAGAUUCUAUAAAAGCAAUAAAAGUUUGGAAUCUAAAAUAGAUUCUAUAAACGUUUUAUACUGAAUCUUUGGAUGAAAGAUAGCGAAACAAUUUCGAGUCGAUUUUAAGGGUUGUAAGGUUAUUGCGAAUGAGACGCACUUUGUCGUUCGUCGCAGUGAGCAAUGUUCUUACUCCCAUAAAGGCGACCGAACGUGCGAGAGAACGUUCCAUUGUGUGUUGCCUACAAGCGAACCUAGCGAAGUGAAACAUCUCAGUAGCUAGAGGAAAAGAAAUCAACAGAGAUUCUCCUAGUAGCGGCGAGCGAACGGGGAAAAGGGCAAACCGAAUGCUUGCAUUCGGGGUUUAGGACUGCGACAUCCACUUGUAUCAUUUAGCAGAAUUAUUUGGAAAACUAAGCUAUAAAGGGUGAUAGCCCCGUAUGCGAAAAAUGAUACAUAGGUAGCAGUAUCCAGAGUAGGUCAGGACACGUGAAAUCUAGACUGAAGAUGGGGAGACCACUCUCCAACCCUAAAUACUACUAUCACACCGAUAGCGAACAAGUACCGUGAGGGAAAGGUGAAAAGAACCGCAGUGAGCGGAGUGAAAUAGAACCUGAAACCAUUUGCCUACAAUCAUUCAGAGCCCUAUUGUAGGCUCUUCUAGUAGAUUACGUAGGCUUGUCUCUUGGACGAUUUUAAGAGAGUAAGAACAUUGCUCACUGCGACGCACGUUUAAGUGCGUCUCAUUCGCAAUAACCUUACAACCCUUAAACUCGCCUCAAGAUACUUCGCCUAUCUAUUCUUUAGGGAUUCUAGAUUCUAUAAUCUUUUAGAAUCUAAACUAAAGAGUGUGCAGUGAUUUCGAGUCGAUUUUAAGGGUUGUGCAGAAAAAACUGCGGAGACUAGCCUUUUUGGCUGUCGCACAAGAUUUUUUCAAACUCCCUUAAAAGCGACCGAAAGCACAAACAACGUGAUUUCCUAGAUGAGCCUACAAGGGUGAUGGACUGCCUUUUGCAUAAUGAUCCUGCGAGUUGUGGUAUCUGGCAAGGUUAAGCAAACGCGAAGCCGUAGCGAAAGCGACUUUUAACGAGGGUUAAGUCAGAUGCUGCAGACCCGAAGCCAAGUGAUCUAUCCAUGACCAAGUUGAAGUAAGUGUAAUAGCUUAUGGAGGACUGAACUCGUACCCAUUGAAACGGGUUGGGAUGAGUUGUGGAUAGGGGUGAAAGGCCAAACAAACUUGGUGAUAGCUGGUUCUCUUCGAAAUAUAUUUAGGUAUAGCCUCAAGUGAUAGUAAUAGGGGGUAGAGCUCUGAUUGGGCUAGGGCUACUCACCGUGGUACCAACCCCUGUCAAACUGCGAAUACCUAUUACCGUAUCUUGGGAGUCAGGCGGUGGGUGAUAAAAUCAAUCGUCAAAAGGGGAACAACCCAGACUACCAACUAAGGUCCCAAAGUUCUAUUCUAAGUGGAAAAUGAUGUGAAGUUACUUAGACAACCAGGAGGUUGGCUUAGAAGCAGCCAUCCUUUAAAGAAAGCGUAACAGCUCACUGGUCUAGUGAUUUUGCGCAGAAAAUAUAACGGGGCUAAGAUAGACACCGAAGUUGUAGAUUAUGCUGAUGCAUAGUGGUAGAAGAGCGUUCGUAUUGCAUUGAAGGUAUAUCGGUAAGAAGUGCUGGAGCGAUGCGAAGUGAGCAUGCAGGAAUGAGUAGCGAUAAAAGUGGUGAGAAUCCACUUCGCCGAAAGUCUAAGGUUUCCUACGCGAUGCUCGUCAUCGUAGGGUUAGUCGGGUCCUAAGACAAGUCAGAAAUGGGUAGUCGAUGGAAAAUGGGUUAAUAUUCCCAUACCAACAUAAGUGUGCGAUGGGGGGACGCAUAAGGCUAAAUGGCGUUAGCUGAUGGAAUAGCUAAUUUAAAAGUGUAGAUUGAAGGAGUGGCAAAUCCGCCUUUGUAUUUGAAACUUGAAUAGCUUGUUGCGACCUUCGGGUCAAGAUAAGUGCCAUUGAUGCCAUCGUGCCAAGAAAAGCCUCUAAGUUUAACUUAUGUUGCCCGUACCGCAAACCGACACAGGUAGAUAGGAUGAGUAUUCUAAGGCGCGUGAAAGAACUCUCUUUAAGGAACUCUGCAAACUAGCACCGUAAGUUCGCGAUAAGGUGUGCCACAGAAAUGUGGUCUCAGCAAAGAGUCCCUCCCGACUGUUUACCAAAAACACAGCACUUUGCAAACUCGUAAGAGGAAGUAU
rnacentral:rRNA from 1 species